CCUACGGGAGGCAGCAGUAGGGAAUCUUCCACAAUGGACGAAAGUCUGAUGGAGCAACGCCGCGUGAGUGAAGAAGGGUUUCGGCUCGUAAAGCUCUGUUGGUAGUGAAGAAAGAUAGAGGUAGUAACUGGCCUGUAUUUGACGGUAAUUACUUAGAAAGUCACGGCUAACUACGUGCCCGCAGCCGCGGUAAUACGUAGGUGGCAAGCGUUGUCCGGAUUGAUUGGGUGUAAAGCGAGUGCAGGCGGGUCAAUAAGUCUGAUGUGAAAGCCUUCGGCUCAACCUGAGAAUUGCAUCAGAAACUGUUGAACUUGAGUGCAGAAGAGGAGAGUGGAACUCCAUGUGUAGCGGUGGAAUGCGUAGAUAUAUGGAAGAACACCAGUGGCGAAGGCGGCUCUCUGGUCUGCAACUGACGCUGAGGCUCGAAAGCAUGGGUAGCGAACAGGAUUAGAUACCCCAGUAGUC
rnacentral:rRNA from 1 species